rnacentral:rRNA from 1 species
CACGUAGGGUGCGAGCGUUGUCCGGAAUUAUUGGGCGUAAAGAGCUCGUAGGCGGUGUGUCGCGUCGGCCGUGAAAACCUGCAGCUUAACUGUGGGCUUGCGGUCGAUACGGGCAUCACUGGAGUUCGGCAGGGGGGACUGGAAUUCCUGGUGUAGCGGUGAAAUGCGCAGAUAUCAGGAGGAACACCGAUGGCGAAGGCAGGUCUCUGGGCUGACACUGACGCUCAUGCACGAAAGCGUGGGGAGCAAACAGG